rnacentral:rRNA from 1 species
UACCUAGGGGGCAAGCGUUAUCCGGAUUUACUGGGUGUAAAGGGAGCGUAGACGGCGAAGAAAGUCUGAAGUGAAAGCCCGCGGCUCAACCGCGGAAUGGCUUUGGAAACUUUUUUGCUGGAGUACCGGAGAGGUAAGCGGAAUUCCUAGUGUAGCGGUGAAAUGCGUAGAUAUUAGGAGGAACACCAGUGGCGAAGGCGGCUUACUGGACGGUAACUGACGUUGAGGCUCGAAAGCGUGGGGAGCAAACAGG